rnacentral:rRNA from 1 species
UGGGGAAUCAUGGUCAAUGGGCGAAAGCCUGAACCUGCGACGCCGCGUGAGUGAUGAAGGUCGUAAGAUCGUAAAACUCUUUUCAGGGAUCUUAAAUCACAGCUGUCAACAACAGCUGUGUGUGACUCUCCCUGGAAGAAGCCCCAGCCAACUACGUGCCAGCAGCUGCGGUAAUACGUAGGGGGCGAGCGUUAUUCGGAAUUACUGAGUGUAAAGGGUAUGUAGGCGGCCCUUCAAGUCGCGUGUCAAAGUCCAGUGCUCAACGCUGGGUGUGCACGCGAUACUGACGGGCUUGAGGGCUGGAGAGGUGAGCGGAAUUCCCGGUGUAGUGGUAAAAUACGUAGAGAUCGGGAGGAACACCAGCGGCGCAGGCGGCUCACUAGACAGUUUCUUACGCUAAGAUACGAAAGCGUGGGGAGCAAACA